rnacentral:tRNA from 1 species
GUCCGGAUGGCUCAGUGCUCAGAGCAUCUGCCUAGUAAGCAGCAGACCAGGGUUCGAAUCCCGGUCCGGCACA